rnacentral:pre_miRNA from 13 species
CACUGUAAUUCUGCUCCUGUGAGCAGGCAUCUUCCCAGCCUACAUGUGGAUCCAAGAAUCUGCAGGCUGGUUAGAUGGUUGUCACAUGUUCAGCAAACACCACC